UACGUAGGGUGCAAGCGUUGUCCGGAAUUAUUGGGCGUAAAGCGCACGUAGGCGGUUUCUUAAGUCGGGGGUGAAAUCCUGGAGCUCAACUCCAGAACUGCCUUCGAUACUGGGAAACUUGAGUCCGGGAGAGGUGAGUGGAACUGCGAGUGUAGAGGUGAAAUUCGUAGAUAUUCGCAAGAACACCAGUGGCGAAGGCGGCUCACUGGCCCGGUACUGACGCUGAGGUGCGAAAGCGUGGGGAGCAAACAGG
rnacentral:rRNA from 1 species